UGCCCCAUGGUGUAAUGGUAGCACACCAGAUUUUGGUUCUGUUUGACUGAGUUCGAGUCUCGGUGGGGCAACCA
rnacentral:tRNA from 1 species